CUAUAAUUAAACUAGGUGUAGAUAACUAUGUGAAAACAACUCACUAAGAAAGAAUAACUAUUGAAAGUUUCCACAGACUUGUAAGCAUAUUUCUUUGCUCAUCACCUCAAACAGAUAGUUUAGAUACAAGAAAUUUUAAAACAUCUCUGGAUAAAAGCUAGUGGGUGGUAUUAUCAUUCAGGAUCAAUUCCAUUCCAGUUUGUCGUCCUAUGGUAAGCAUUUAUUUUCUUAGCUGGUUGUUGGAUUAUGGUGCAAAAUUGAGAUCUAUUAUUUCUCCAAUGCUUAAGCCAACAAAUCACAAAAAUAAAUUAGAAUUUCUCCAGUAGAUGCAAUUCACUUAACUUCUCUAUCAUUUAGUUAUAAGCAUACCUGGCCAGCUGAUGGUUCCAAGUCGCCUGUGAGCACGGAAAUAGUAGUGCUUUUUCCAGCACCAUUUGGGCCCAAUAAUCCCAGAACUUCACCUGAAAAAAAUGUACAAAUCUAGAAUCUGAAGCCUUUUGUGCAAUGUAAACUUCUACUGCAGUGAUUUUCAUUUCAUUUUGAAUACAGUUUGUGUCAGUGCAAUGUAUUGAGAAGGAUGAUCAAAGAAAUCCUUUUGAAUAUUCCACCUGCAGUUUGCACAGAUUUAAGACUAUCAGCAGGUGUUUUAGGUGUUCCUAGUGUACUGUUAAAAUGCAAAGAUGCCAGAAAGCUGACUAUGCUCUUCAUGAUUAUAGUUGGGAAAACCCAUCGCUACUUUCAGGAAAUGGAACACUUCAGUACUGACAUCCAAGAUGUGGUUACAGGCUGCAAAUGGUGUUGUAACGGAGUUCACUUGCUUUAACUUACAAUAACUGAAGAGAUCAGAAAAAAGUCCCGAGAAGUCUGCAUUCGAUCAAAUCUGAAGGAAUAGGCGUAGGAGAACAGCGUCAUUGCUGGGGCCCAGCCAAUAAGACAUAGCAUCUGCAGAAAAAGAGAGAAAGUGAAGAAGGAACAAUAUAUAUCCUCUUAAUGUCACCUACUGAGUAUUAUUAAUCUACAUAGCUGUCCAUCUCUUUAAAGCCAUUUCUUUCUGAAUAUAUUUAAUUUAUUCCAGAGUGAAGCACCUGAAGAUGGUUGAGCCUAUGAAUUCCUGCAGCAAUAUCCUGGGACUGUUGUUUGGCUUCCAAAACAAUAACUGUGUUCGUUUUUGCUAGCACCAGUAUGAAGCAAAGAUGUGGAAUUAAAUGCAAUCACACAGCCAAGCAUGAUUACAACUAUGCCAAAAUAAACUGGAAUAUCCACCAAAGCAUAACCACACCAGUAUGCAGAAGGAAAGAGGCC